GAGAAAAACAGAAAGAGAGAGACAGAGAA
rnacentral:piRNA from 1 species